rnacentral:rRNA from 1 species
UACGUAGGAACCGAGCGUUGUCCGAAUUUACUGGGCGUAAAGAGCGCGUAGGUGGUUUGUUAAGUCUCAUGUGUAAUCUCCCGGCUCAACUGGGAGGGGUCAUGGGAUACUGGCAGACUCGAGGAUAGCAGAGGAAAGCGGAAUUCAGGGAGUAGUGGUGAAAUGCGUAGAUACCCUGAGGAACACCAGAGGCGAAGGCGGCUUUCUGGGCUAUUCCUGACACUGAGGCGCGAAAGCGUGGGGAGCGAAC